rnacentral:rRNA from 1 species
AUUGAACGCUGGCGGCAGGCCUAACACAUGCAAGUCGAGCGGAUGAAGGGAGCUUGCUCCUGGAUUCAGCGGCGGACGGGUGAGUAAUGCCUAGGAAUCUGCCUGGUAGUGGGGGAUAACGUCCGGAAACGGGCGCUAAUACCGCAUACGUCCUGAGGGAGAAAGUGGGGGAUCUUCGGACCUCACGCUAUCAGAUGAGCCUAGGUCGGAUUAGCUAGUUGGUGGGGUAAAGGCCUACCAAGGCGACGAUCCGUAACUGGUCUGAGAGGAUGAUCAGUCACACUGGAACUGAGACACGGUCCAGACUCCUACGGGAGGCAGCAGUGGGGAAUAUUGGACAAUGGGCGAAAGCCUGAUCCAGCAAUGCCGCGUGUGUGAAGAAGGUCUUCGGAUUGUAAAUCACUUUAAGUUGGGAGGAAGGGCAGUAAGUUAAUACCUUGCUGUUUUGACGUUACCAACAGAAUAAGCACCGGCUAACUUCGUG